rnacentral:piRNA from 2 species
AAACUUUUGGCCAAGAGAAUGAAGG